rnacentral:rRNA from 1 species
CCUACGGGUGGCAGCAGUGAGGAAUAUUGGUCAAUGGGCGGGAGCCUGAACCAGCCAAGUCGCGUGAGGGACGACGGUCCUAUGGAUUGUAAACCUCUUUUGUCGGGGAACAAAGUCGCCCACGGGUGGGCGGCUGAGUGUACCCGAAGAAAAAGCAUCGGCUAACUCCGUGCCAGCAGCCGCGGUAAUACGGAGGAUGCGAGCGUUAUCCGGAUUUAUUGGGUUUAAAGGGUGCGUAGGCGGACAGUCAAGUCAGCGGUAAAAAUGCGGUGCUCAACGCCGUACAGCCGUUGACACUGGCAGUAUUGAGUGGGCGAGAAGUAGGCGGAAUGCGUGGUGUAGCGGGGAAAUGCAUAGAUAUCACGCAGAACUCCGAUGGAGAGGGAAGCAUACCGGAGCCCGACUGACGCUGAGGCACGAAAGCGUGGGUAUCGAACAGGAUUAGAUACCCCGGUAGUC